UAUACUUCAGAACAGGCUUUGGGAAGCUUAUAAUCUGCUGUUUCUCCACCGGAGCAGGCUUCGGGGAGCUUACUGUCUGCUGUUUCUCCGCCGGAGCAGGCUUCGGGGAGCUUGCUGUCUGCUGUUUCUCCGCUGCAGGCUUCAGGGAGCUUGCUGUCUGCUCUUUCUUCACCAAAGCAGGCUUCAGGGAGCUUACUGCCUGCUCUUUCUCCACCGGAGCAGGCUUAGGGGAGCUUGCUGUCUGCUGGUUAUCCGCCGGAGCAGGN
rnacentral:lncRNA from 1 species